rnacentral:rRNA from 1 species
UACGGAGGGUGCAAGCGUUAUCCGGAUUCACUGGGUUUAAAGGGUGCGUAGGUGGGUCUGUAAGUCCGUGGUGAAAUCUCCGAGCUUAACUUGGAAACUGCCAUGGAUACUAUAGAUCUUGAAUACUGUGGAGGUUAGCGGAAUAUGUCAUGUAGCGGUGAAAUGCUUAGAUAUACAUAGAACACCAAUUGCGAAGGCAGCUGGCUACACAAAUAUUGACACUGAUGCACGAAAGCGUGGGGAUCAAACAGG